AUGUCAAUCAAUCUGAAAGAAGGAUACAAAGGGCAAUUUAAAGUUGCUCUCAUUAGUUUUCAUUUCAUCCCAUGUCUUCUGUCUUUUCAGCUGUGUUCACUUUCUCCUUCCCUCAUCCUUUCUUCUCCACGUCUUGUUGCCUUGUCUGCCUGGCUUCUCAGCAACCUGAUUUUACCUGCAGCUCUGAGAAGGGAGUUCCAAGUGAUUUUUCUGCUAGCAUUCUUCAGGACAACAUGGAGGAAGACAAUGCUUCUUGGACAAGAUGGCAGAUCACAAUGUGGUGAGAAUCUGGAUUCCGUUUUACUCUUUUCUGCCCAUAUUGGUACUUGAAUAACAUUUUAGAUUACAUAGCAUUAUUGACUAGCUAGUCUUUCCUCAGAUACAAAGAUAUUUUAUUAUACCAGCUGGGAAAAUCUUUGUCCAAAUAUUUGUCUUCUUGUAUUUGUGUUAUUAUAACCAACUCUUGGCCAGCCUUUCCUCCUCAUUUAUUUCCUAUUUAUAUUCCAUUUAAAACAUGUCAGCAUGGUUGAUAUUUUCCACAUCUCACAAUUCCCAUGUUAUGAUCUUAUGCAGUCAGAGCCUUGGGAUAAUAUUUAAAAUUGCAUGAUUUGUAUUGAACCUUAUUCAAACUUUAUAUAUAUAUAUAUAUAUAUAAUUUGAUUUAUGUUUAUAAUAAUCCUUGGGCAUGGUAUUCUGGGUUGAGCAUUUUGCUUGUUAUACCAUCUGUACCCUGUUUAAUCUCUGGGUACAGAACAUUUUCACAUCUGGCUUCUUGCUGAUGACAAGCUUCUGCAUAUAAUUUCUGCUUCAGUGAAUUUCAGUGUUUCUCUGGUAAAAUGUAAAUGCCUUUUUUUUUUCUUUACUAGUAAUUUUUGUUUAAUGCUGUAUGUAAUAUUAUGACUGAAGUUUUGAUAAAGUGCCUAUUAUAACUAUUUUGAGAAUCUGUAAAAAAUCUACAACUAGAGCAAGUUUUGAAUUUGAGCAUAGGAAGGUGAACAAUUAGCAACUUGCCUCAAUAACUGUAUUUUAUUAUUGCAUAUAUGUACAUUAUCCAUUGCAUAUCUUCCAUAUCUACUUAAAUAUGUUUAGUGUGGCCUACUUUGAAUAAAUAUACAUUGAAAAUCA
rnacentral:lncRNA from 1 species